UGCAAUAAUGCUGAAUCCCUGCAGUGGAGGAACAGCCAUUGCUUCUCUUCUCUGUCAAUAGUGAAUUAAGUGUGUGUUUAUGGGGCUCACGGUUAUUUUCUUUUGAGAAAGUUAAUUGAUGGAAGGUUAAAUAAAGCCACAAGUUUUUACUUAAAGAAAACAGAGAAAAUGAAGGAUUACUUUAAUUAUGAGCAAUGUGUCAAAAGAAAUGUUUCCCAAAUUAAUCUUUUCUGGGAGUGCAACAAUUCUUCCUAUAAUUCAUUUUAACGCCUCAUAAAAAAAAAAAAAAGGAGGGGGCUCAUUCUACCCAAUUCUUCUUUUAUAGAUACACACACAGUGUUCGGUCAGCUCUCACUUAGAUUACAACAAGCAACAUGAAUUAAUUACAGGCAUUAAAGCUUUUCUUUCCAAGGUGUUUGCUUUCUAAGGAUUAGUUUUCCCACGUUAGCUGCAGGAGGCACCCCUUUCUGGUUAAAGGAGAGGCUUAUUCUGGAAAGUGACUAGGAAAGCCUUAGUACCGCUCCCUCUCCUUUAAAAUAUCCUAAAUCCUCCAGGAUGUUACACAUCCAGUUGUGUCUUUUAAAGGCAGCUCAACUGAAUUCUUCCAAGGAAAGAGCAGAACAGUCUUGGAAUGGUUUGAGUGUUAACAUUUGUUCUUAAUCUAUCAAAAUUCUCCUACUCAUGUUCUCAGAGUUUGUGAGUAUUCUCUGAAGCCUUUUCAGAGCUGGAAAUCAGUCCAAUUCCAGUAGUAGGGGAGGGUUGAAAAGGAUGGAGGAGGUGUUCUGUCGAUUUCUUUUUUUCCUACAAUGUUGACGAGUAAGAAAACUCGAAGACCCUACUUAGAGCUACAAAAUGUGCUCAUUACGGGCCUAUCUGCCAGCAACAAAAGGGAGGAGACUCCUAUUUCAGCAGGUAUGAAUCUCAAUAGUUGCUUUCAUCUCCGGAGAGUUCAAUUCUGCUCUAUUUAAUAAAACCCAACACUUCAGUUAUCAGAGUCAUUAGGAGGAAGCAGGAUUGCAAGAAGGAAAGCCUUCAUUUCUUUCUGUGUCAUAUGUAAUUACACCAUUUAUUUCCCCAAUGGGCUCCACACUUUUCCACUACUUUUUUUUUCCCCUUUCAGAAAAUCUCUGAGGGAAAGCUCUUCUUGUAGAAAACAAAGACUAAGCAGUAACAAAAUUAAAGGACACUCCUUCAGAAACCAAAGUAGUUCUAGUACCAGGCAAUUAGCACCAAGCAAGUGCCAGGAUGCUAUUCAUCCCUAAAUACAUCAAAUCCCCCUGAAUAUCAUUGUCACAUCAUUUAUUGUCUUUUCCCCUCAAUUAAGGUGAAGUGUAUUUGAUGAACCAAAUAUUUCCUAUGGCACAGAACAAAAGGGAUUUAAAUUUGAUAACUUUAAAAGGCUGCAAUCUCUGUGGACUGCAGAUAUAUCCCAUAAAAGUUAUAAAAUGCAUUUUUGAAGGUAUAGAUCAGAAAACCAGUAUUACAUUAGCAUGAAAGCCAAGCUCAAUUAAUUCAUUACUUCUAUCUUUUGUGUAAGAAACUAAAAGUUGCAAUUAAUCCAACCUGCAAACUAUCCUGAAAAUUAUCAAUGUUAGCUCCCCAGGGGAGUAGAUUUCAAUGGCUUUCCACCAAAGUCAUCCUUAUCCUGAUUCCCCAGAGUUCUGUGAGCUAUAAGCCAUCAACUGAUCCUAACUGAUAUUAAUUCAGAUAAUUUUUAAAAAUGAAAUCACAUCAUCCUCAAAUUUUUUAAUCAGAAGAAACCUCAGAAAUCCAUAUAGUUUGGAAAUUGUUAACCUGGAGUUCAUAACCUCCUGAAUAUAUAAACAUGAUUGUUUAUAGGUACAUGCAUACUUUUAGGAAGAAGAUCCUUAUGUUUUAUCA
rnacentral:lncRNA from 1 species